GUUUUAUCACUCACACAGUUAUGAGACAAUUCCCAGCAUCUAUUAUACUUACUGAGUGAAGGGCAAGUUUAAAGAGGUCAGUUUGCAUGCUGCAAUUCUAUGGACUGAGAUGAACCAGUGAAGUGUGGAAAACUCUACAGGGUCCCCAAAGAGGCAAGAACAGAGAUGCUACUGUACUUCAGCAAUAGCUUUUUCAUCGCUUUCACCUUCAUAGGACAUAUGAAAAAAAAAAAAAGAUUUAAGAUGCCAGAAUCAAAGAACUUCUGCAGAGGGAGGCCACAGAAGUGAGGGAAAAGCUGUGGGGGAAGAAAACAGUAGAAAGAAAGCAAUACAGGCAAACAGAAUGAUGCAUGUGUAGGCAAAAAGUGAUAUAGUCUUUCAAGAACAGAUGAAGUAGCCUCAGAAGUUACAGGGAAGAUAAACAAAUGAGGAGACGCUUUGGAGAAAUGAAAAAAACUGGAAAAAGG